rnacentral:rRNA from 1 species
CGUAUCACUUAAAGUGAUUCAGCGGGUUACGAUUGACGGAGCGAAGCGACGUCAAAGCGUAUACAAAGUCGAGUCGGUUUAAGGAUACGUUCGUUGGGUAGGGGAGCGUUCUGUAAGCCUGCGAAGGUGGCCUGUGAGGGUUGCUGGAGGUAUCAGAAGUGCGAAUGCUGACAUAAGUAACGAUAAAGCGGGUGAAAAGCCCGCUCGCCGGAAGACCAAGGGUUCCUGUCCAACGUUAAUCGGGGCAGGGUGAGUCGACCCCUAAGGCGAGGCCGAAAGGCGUAGUCGAUGGGAAACGGGUUAAUAUUCCCGUACUUGGUGUUACUGCGAAGGGGGGACGGAGAAGGCUAUGUUGGCCGGGCGACGGUUGUCCCGGUUUAAGCGUGUAGGUGUGUGUUCCAGGUAAAUCCGGUUCACUUUAACACUGAGGCGUGAUGACGAGGCACUACGGUGCUGAAGCAACAAAUGCCCUGCUUCCAGGAAAAGCCUCUAAGCAUCAGGUAACAUCAAAUCGUACCCCAAACCGACACAGGUGGUCAGGUAGAGAAUACCAAGGCGCUUGAGAGAACUCGGGUGAAGGAACUAGGCAAAAUGGUGCCGUAACUUCGGGAGAAGGCACGCUGACACGUAGGUGAAGUGAUUUACUCACGGAGCUGAAGUCAGUCGAAGAUACCAGCUGGCUGCAACUGUUUAUUAAAAACACAGCACUGUGCAAACACGAAAGUGGACGUAUACGGUGUGACGCCUGCCCGGUGCCGGAAGGUUAAUUGAUGGGGUCAGCGCAAGCGAAGCUCCUGAUCGAAGCCCCGGUAAACGGCGGCCGUAACUAUAACGGUCCUAAGGUAGCGAAAUUCCUUGUCGGGUAAGUUCCGACCUGCACGAAUGGCGUAAUGAUGGCCAGGCUGUCUCCACCCGAGACUCAGUGAAAUUGAACUCGCUGUGAAGAUGCAGUGUACCCGCGGCAAGACGGAAAGACCCCGUGAACCUUUACUAUAGCUUGACACUGAACAUUGAGCCUUGAUGUGUAGGAUAGGUGGGAGGCUUUGAAGCGUGGACGCCAGUCUGCGUGGAGCCGACCUUGAAAUACCACCCUUUAAUGUUUGAUGUUCUAACGUGGACCCGUGAUCCGGGUUGCGGACAGUGUCUGGUGGGUAGUUUGACUGGGGCGGUCUCCUCCUAAAGAGUAACGGAGGAGCACGAAGGUUGGCUAAUCCUGGUCGGACAUCAGGAGGUUAGUGCAAUGGCAUAAGCCAGCUUGACUGCGAGCGUGACGGCGCGAGCAGGUGCGAAAGCAGGUCAUAGUGAUCCGGUGGUUCUGAAUGGAAGGGCCAUCGCUCAACGGAUAAAAGGUACUCCGGGGAUAACAGGCUGAUACCGCCCAAGAGUUCAUAUCGACGGCGGUGUUUGGCACCUCGAUGUCGGCUCAUCACAUCCUGGGGCUGAAGUAGGUCCCAAGGGUAUGGCUGUUCGCCAUUUAAAGUGGUACGCGAGCUGGGUUUAGAACGUCGUGAGACAGUUCGGUCCCUAUCUGCCGUGGGCGCUGGAGAACUGAGGGGGGCUGCUCCUAGUACGAGAGGACCGGAGUGGACGCAUCACUGGUGUUCGGGUUGUCAUGCCAAUGGCACUGCCCGGUAGCUAAAUGCGGAAGAGAUAAGUGCUGAAAGCAUCUAAGCACGAAACUUGCCCCGAGAUGAGUUCUCCCUGAGACUUAGAGUCUCCUGAAGGAACGUUGAAGACGACGACGUUGAUAGGCCGGGUGUGUAAGCGCAGCGAUGCGUUGAGCUAACCGGUACUAAUGAACCGUGAGGCUUAACCUUACAACGCCGAAG